GCACGGGCGGGAAAGCCGAGCGGCCGUGGGUGCGGAGAGAGCGGAGCUCAGUGCCAAAGCCUGGGUGUGCAAAGAAAGACACUGGCUUCAGCCGAACUCCCAGAAGGCAGAUGCUAGGAUCUGCAGCCCGAGCGGAAAACACAAGCGUGGUCGGGGAGGUUUUGCUCCGUGCACCUGUGGUGUAUAGAGUGCGCUCGCAGAAGAGCAGAAAAACAUCCCUUUGAAAACGGUUGUUGACCUCACCUUUCCAACGGUGGCUAGCUAAAUGCAAUGGAAGAUUUUAAAACAUCAUUAACUAAACACCACAGGCACCUUUUCUCAUACCUACUGUUGUAACAUGGUAUGUCCGUCCAUCUUGCAAGUACUUCUGUGACCUUUACCAUACCUCCAACAGAAAACACAUAAUUCCCAGCUUUCAAAGGAAUGCCGUGGAGGGUCAGGAAAGGACUGGUCCAAAGCCGCCCAGCUGCUGAGCAGUGCAGCUGGAAUGGGAGCCUCAGGCCUCACAUACUUCCAGCAAGCCCUGUUCUGCCUCUGUCAGCUGCUUCUCUGCAGAGUACUAUGGGAAUGCAGGUGUCACAGAAUCCUGGAUCAGCUGGCUGCUGGCUGGGUAUGGCCAAGAAAGGAG